UUAUAUUAUAUUAUUAUAAUUAAUUAACAAAAAUAUUAAUUUAUUUCGCUAUCUUAUGUAUUGGCUCUGAAACAUUUAUACUCAAUGGGAAGUUGUGGAGAGUCAUUUUGGUUGAGAUAUAUAUAUGUAGGUUAGUAAGGGAGGAAGGUCUUGGACAUGUUUGGCAGACUGCUGGAGCGACCCCUGAUGCUCACGCUCGAUAUCCGAUGCUGAUCAUAAUGUUGGACAAGCAGCUGAUCUUCAUGAAGCAGAUGCAGGCCGAGGAAACCCAAGGUUACUCUCCUGUCUCCAAAAACAUGCCUGUGGUUGCCGGAAUUUAUCCAGCAAUUGCAGGAACACAUACAGAUCCCUUACAAUAACUUCAGUUUCAUCAGCCACCUAUGCAUGGAGUCUGUGGAUGGAAAGGAGAUGAUCCAGAAAUACAAUGAGUUGAUGCAGCAACUCAAACAGUGAAAAUAGGUAUUAUGUGUGUAUUAUGAAUCUGGAAUCCCGUGUUUAUUUUUGUGUGUACCAGCUGAUUUAAGUCCAGACGACUCUAUUUUAUUUAGCCAAUGUAUAGAAUGCUCUGAUCCACCUUUGUUCAAAUAAAUGAGGCUUUUUAUUAAAGGCCCUAUAUAUUCUUGAGCAAGCGUGAACAGAGCGGUGGAACAUGAAGACUGGGUGGUAUUGCUGAGAGACCUUCAGCCUGUACAUGGAAUUAACAAACAAACAUGAUUUAUUUGCUCAUUUAAGGCGCUAGUGUCUGUAGAUUAUUACUUCAGGGUCUCAUUUUCUCUAAUUAUGUGCAGUGCUUCCACAUCACGGCAUGACCAAUGGCUGUGUAAAUCGUCGCUGAUGUAGGAAUGCAUGCGAGUGUUAGAUGGCGUCUGUGUGACCAAAGAUGUGAAUGCAUGUGUGUGUUUCCCUUCAUAUGAGAAACGAAUGAUGCAUUUCCCAAAGAGCCAGAUCUCUGUUCUCUCCAGUCAGAAAUUAAGCCCCCUCGUUAGAUGAUGGUAAUCAGCGAUGUUGCGUAAGCUGGAGCUGUUAUUGGUAUCUCUAGUCAUUAUGUCUUGACACCGAGACGUAUGACUUGUGUGAAGCAAAGCGAUAUUUGAUUUCAUGAACCGCAGCUCUGCAACUGUAAUAAGAUAAACCACACAGAAAUCCAAUAAAGGCCGGACUCUCUCACAGUCGGCCUGUAAAGAGAUUACUGUAACAGUACAGGGACCCGGCGUGC
rnacentral:lncRNA from 1 species